AGGUUGGCGGGUCUCUGAAGGCCCAGCCCACGUGUCAGAGGUGGCCGAGCAGAACCUUGACGGUGGAGUCACAGCGGGAGGCACCGAAGGCUGCGCUGACUGCCCAACACACCAGCAUCCACGGCAAGACCCAUUCAUCUGGAGCAUCAGGCUUAGGCUUCAUCUCCUGUGUCAAUUCAGGCAAGAGGAAGAGAGAGGAGGAAGCUUCCAGAUCCAAGCCAGAGGAGGUGGAUGCAGCACCCAUCGCCCACAGCUUUGGGGCCUGGUCCAGCCUCUACCUGGCCGAGACACCCAACCCCAACCCCACCCACAUGGGCAUGCAGAAGAGUCUGAGACGGUGCACACUGACCUGCGGCAGAGUUACAGUGCUGGGAGUCACGCAGGUGUGUCUCCUCCUGCAGCAGAGAGCCUCCUGGAAAACCAGAGGUCUUGGGUCCUGAUGCCUGAGCCGGCGACACCUCUGAGUACACUGUGAAGGGCGACUGUGGAUUUUUCUUCUUUCUCAAACAAUGAUGCAAUCAUUGGGAUCACUUGUCCUCCUGGGACGCGUUUGUGCGAAACUGGCGUCUUCCAAAAAACAGCCCAGGGGAGUCGAGAUGACGUACCAGGUAGAAGAAGGCACAGGUGAGCCACUUGACAAAUUAGGCGAAGGCCGCCAGCCUGCCUGCCAGGUGUGUG
rnacentral:lncRNA from 1 species